UGCAGUCGAGCGGACAGAUGGGAGCUUGCUCCCUGAUGUUAGCGGCGGACGGGUGAGUAACACGUGGGUAACCUGCCUGUAAGACUGGGAUAACUCCGGGAAACCGGGGCUAAUACCGGAUGCUUGUUUGAACCGCAUGGUUCAAACAUAAAAGGUGGCUUCGGCUACCACUUACAGAUGGACCCGCGGCGCAUUAGCUAGUUGGUGAGGUAACGGCUCACCAAGGCGACGAUGCGUAGCCGACCUGAGAGGGUGAUCGGCCACACUGGGACUGAGACACGGCCCAGACUCCUACGGGAGGCAGCAGUAGGGAAUCUUCCGCAAUGGACGAAAGUCUGACGGAGCAACGCCGCGUGAGUGAUGAAGGUUUUCGGAUCGUAAAGCUCUGUUGUUAGGGAAGAACAAGUGCCGUUCAAAUAGGGCGGCACCUUGACGGUACCUAACCAGAAAGCCACGGCUAACUACGUGCCAGCAGCCGCGGUAAUACGUAGGUGGCAAGCGUUGUCCGGAAUUAUUGGGCGUAAAGGGCUCGCAGGCGGUUUCUUAAGUCUGAUGUGAAAGCCCCCGGCUCAACCGGGGAGGGUCAUUGGAAACUGGGGAACUUGAGUGCAGAAGAGGAGAGUGGAAUUCCACGUGUAGCGGUGAAAUGCGUAGAGAUGUGGAGGAACACCAGUGGCGAAGGCGACUCUCUGGUCUGUAACUGACGCUGAGGAGCGAAAGCGUGGGGAGCGAACAGGAUUAGAUACCCUGGUAGUCCACGCCGUAAACGAUGAGUGCUAAGUGUUAGGGGUUUCCGCCCCUUAGUGCUGCAGCUAACGCAUUAAGCACUCCGCCUGGGGGAGUACGGUCGCAAGACUGAA
rnacentral:rRNA from 1 species